AUUGAACGCUGGCGGCAUGCCUAACACAUGCAAGUCGAACGAGUGGCGGACGGGUGAGUAAUGUAUGGGAAACUGCCUGAUGGAGGGGGAUAACUACUGGAAACUGUCGCUAAUACCGCAUACCAUCAGAUGUGCCAAUGUGGUAUUAGCUUGUUGGUGGGGUAACGGCUCACCAAGGAGACGAUCCCUAGCUGGUUGGAGAGGAUGACCAGCCACACUGGAACUGAGACACGGUCCAGACUCCUACGGGAGGCAGCAGUGGGGAAUAUUGCACAAUGGGCGCAAGCCUGAUGCAGCCAUGCAGCGUGUAUGAAGAAGGCCUUCGGGUUGUAAAGUACUUUCAGCGGGGAGGCGUUACCCGCAGAAGAAGCACCGGCUAACUCCGUGCCAGCAGCCGCGGUAAUAC
rnacentral:rRNA from 1 species